CCCCCUCCUGCCCUACAGGUAACAUGGGGCUGGGAGAGUGUGGUGGCCCCAGGGCUAGGUGUGGAGGACACACAUGUGACCUGCCCUUUUACU